AGGCCCAUCAAUGUCUCGCCUCAUGACUCAGAGAUAACACUCUCCAAGAGCCAGUUCUGUUUAACAGGUUUCCAAGAAGACACAGCAACCACAUCUGCCACUCCAAGAGGACUGCAGCCACUCCAAUUUGGACUGCUACCAGCACGCUGGCCAAAGCGGGUGUCAGGUUGUAUUCUGACUUUGCCAGUGGUCUUCCUUUUGUAUCAUUGUGUGUAUUUUUGUCUUUUGUUUUCCCUUUUCCCAAUAAAUUGUAUUUCUGA